rnacentral:tRNA from 1 species
GGAGUGUAGCUCAGUGGUAGAGUGCUUGCCUAGCAUGUGUGAGGCACUGGGUUCGAUCCUCAGCACCA